ACUUAAAUUGAAGAGUUUGAUCAUGGCUCAGAUUGAACGCUGGCGGCAGGCCUAACACAUGCAAGUCGAACGGUAGCACAGAGAGCUUGCUCUCGGGUGACGAGUGGCGGACGGGUGAGUAAUGUCUGGGAAACUGCCCGAUGGAGGGGGAUAACUACUGGAAACGGUAGCUAAUACCGCAUAACGUCGCAAGACCAAAGUGGGGGACCUUCGGGCCUCACACCAUCGGAUGUGCCCAGAUGGGAUUAGCUAGUAGGUGGGGUAACGGCUCACCUAGGCGACGAUCCCUAGCUGGUCUGAGAGGAUGACCAGCCACACUGGAACUGAGACACGGUCCAGACUCCUACGGGAGGCAGCAGUGGGGAAUAUUGCACAAUGGGCGCAAGCCUGAUGCAGCCAUGCCGCGUGUAUGAAGAAGGCCUUCGGGUUGUAAAGUACUUUCAGCGAGGAGGAAGGCGUUGUGGUUAAUAACCACAGCGAUUGACGUUACUCGCAGAAGAAGCACCGGCUAACUCCGUGCCAGCAGCCGCGGUAAUACGGAGGGUGCAAGCGUUAAUCGGAAUUACUGGGCGUAAAGCGCACGCAGGCGGUUUGUUAAGUCAGAUGUGAAAUCCCCGGGCUCAACCUGGGAACUGCAUUUGAAACUGGCAAGCUUGAGUCUCGUAGAGGGGGUAGAAUUCCAGGUGUAGCGGUGAAAUGCGUAGAGAUCUGGAGGAAUACCGGUGGCGAAGGCGGCCCCCUGGACGAAGACUGACGCUCAGGUGCGAAAGCGUGGGGAGCAAACAGGAUUAGAUACCCUGGUAGUCCACGCCGUAAACGAUGUCUAUUUGGAGGUUGUGCCCUUGAGGCGUGGCUUCCGGAGCUAACGCGUUAAAUAGACCGCCUGGGGAGUACGGCCGCAAGGUUAAAACUCAAAUGAAUUGACGGGGGCCCGCACAAGCGGUGGAGCAUGUGGUUUAAUUCGAUGCAACGCGAAGAACCUUACCUACUCUUGACAUCCAGAGAACUUAGCAGAGAUGCUUUGGUGCCUUCGGGAACUCUGAGACAGGUGCUGCAUGGCUGUCGUCAGCUCGUGUUGUGAAAUGUUGGGUUAAGUCCCGCAACGAGCGCAACCCUUAUCCUUUGUUGCCAGCGGUUCGGCCGGGAACUCAAAGGAGACUGCCAGUGAUAAACUGGAGGAAGGUGGGGAUGACGUCAAGUCAUCAUGGCCCUUACGAGUAGGGCUACACACGUGCUACAAUGGCAUAUACAAAGAGAAGCGACCUCGCGAGAGCAAGCGGACCUCAUAAAGUAUGUCGUAGUCCGGAUUGGAGUCUGCAACUCGACUCCAUGAAGUCGGAAUCGCUAGUAAUCGUAGAUCAGAAUGCUACGGUGAAUACGUUCCCGGGCCUUGUACACACCGCCCGUCACACCAUGGGAGUGGGUUGCAAAAGAAGUAGGUAGCUUAACCUUCGGGAGGGCGCUUACCACUUUGUGAUUCAUGACUGGGGUGAAGUCGUAACAAGGUAACCGUAGGGGAACCUGCGGUUGGAUCACCUCCUUACCUUAAAGAA
rnacentral:rRNA from 1 species